rnacentral:rRNA from 1 species
GACGAACGCUAGCGGCGGGCUUAACACAUGCAAGUCGAGCGGCAAGGCCCGGCUUGUGUGGGGUGCUCGAGUGGCAAAGGGGUGAGUAACACGUACGUAACCUGACCUUGACUUUGGGAUAGCUUUAGGAAGCCGGGGGUAGUACCGGAUAGGAGCGCCUGCUGCAUGGUGGGGGUUGGAAAGUUUCGGCGGUUGGGGAUGGACUCGCGGCUUAUCAGCUUGUUGGUGGGGUAGUGGCUUACCAAGGCUUUGACGGGUAGCCGGCCUGAGAGGGUGACUGGCACACGUGCGACUGAGCUACGGCCCGGAGUACUACGGGAUGCUGGACAGUGGAAGAAUGCCCGAUCGGUGGAAGCAUGAUGCAGCAACGCCGCGUGAGGGGUUAUAGACUGCGUUUAGGCGAGGGUUUUGGCGUGUGAGUAUGCGUGAGUGCAGGUAAUGGGUGAAUAAGCCCCGGCUAAUUCCGUG